rnacentral:misc_RNA from 1 species
CUGAGUCUUCGAGCUCAAACAACCCUUCUGUGGACCUGAAUAAAACCGUUGCCUCGGCGGGCGGCCCCACUUGUGGGCCGGACAGCCCGGCCGCCUUUCCAAGGCGCCGGCGCCAGCCGCUGGCCCCAAACCAAAAACUCUAGUAACUUUUACCUUCUGAGUUUUAAUACAAAAAAUAAAGUCA